rnacentral:lncRNA from 13 species
AUGGAUGUGAUCCCCAUUGUUUUUCCACAUAUAAGCUUUCUUUUUACAGGUCCACUCAAAAGCAUGUGGGAUGAAAAGACAAUUGUCAUCUCACAGCUUCUUCUGACUUCAUUGCUUUUCUCAGUCAUUAUUGAGGUUCAGUUGCCUAUUUCACUCAUGGGAGCGGCAGCUCCGGGCAGUGACAUCACCCUUAGAUGCUCUUUGUCUUCUUCUAAAAACCUGAACCUCAACCACCUGAUUGUCAACUGGCAGCAUGCAGAAUCAGUGGUGGUCCACAGCUAUUACCAUGGAAGAGAUCAGCUGGACAGAGUGUUGUUUACAAAGGAUGGACUCAUCUGUUUGAAGACCAGCUCGCUGUGGGAAAUGUCUCACUUAGACUGAGUGGUGUGCAGCCGAGUGACCAGGGCAAAAACACUUGUGAUGUGACAGAUGAACAGGCUAGCACCCUGGAAAACCUAAUACUUUUAGUGAGAUGUUAGAAAGUAUGUAUUUUUGUCCUUUCAGAUUUUUUAGGAAUCUUGCAUGUAUGGGGGAUAAAUAGACAUAAAAGUAUUAAACUAUCUGCACAAAAUCAACUUAGUUAUCUACUUGCCUAAAGCCCUUUGCAGUCAGAAUUCUCCUUUGUUAAGAGUUGAAUAUGAGUAUUGUUGUUUCUGUUUACCCCUGGCCCCCUUCAAGAAUCCACAGCUCAGCUGUCUAUACAGUCAUCCUGUGACAGCUUCAUCAUCACCCUCACCUCCUCCCAGGGUUUCCCCCAGCCUGAUGUGUGGUGGACAGACUCCAUUGGAGGAGACAUCUACAAUUAGAGCCACUGCUAAAUCGGUCUGGAAAGCAGGGGGCGCUAUGAGGUCCACAGCUCCAUGGAGGUCAGGCCAAACAGUACACUCACCAUCAUUGCUGAAAUGAGACUGGAGGAUCUCAAUCAAAGCUUCACCCGCUCGCUCACCCUCCACCCACUCCCAGGUAAAGGUGCGACCUACCAACAGGUUUAAGGGUAGAGCAAUGUGACCAAGCAUGGUUCACUGAUUUAGUGAUGAAAUAUUAAACCAUUUCAUAAUCACUAAUGGCUAACCCCUGAAUAGAGAUUACUCUUACACAAAUUCUGCAAUGUAUGAAUUCUAGACAAAAUUUGUAGUCAAACACCCAUCCUAACUAAAUAUGGAUUUGACAUUUCACUUUGAGGGCAAAUGAGUCAUAUGAGCAUUGUGUAUAGAUGUACUGCAUGCAAGAAUAACACCAUUGCAGAGUGCAACUUUCCAUGACAGGAGCUGUUUACAAUGCCCUCAAUGAAAGGUUCAGUGACCAGGCAGUACUACUAGAGGAACAGGUCUUUGGGAUGUGAAGCUGAAAGCCGGUCUCUUUCUCUCUUCUCCUCCUCUUCAACAGAAUGCUGUGAGCUGCUUCUUGCAACCGGGGGCAGACCGGCUUUGGUAUUAUUAGGGAUAGUUCUCUUAGCAGCUUCAGACGUCUGAAACACACCAACACCAGCUGAUCCCACAUGACUAUACAACAGGACAAGAUGAGGCUCAUGAAACAGAGACUUGAUACAUCAUGAACAAAAAUUAGUUAUAAAAGUCUAAGCUUACAGGACUGUUUCAAUGUCACAAAUAUAGGUGUGUGUGUUGCUGCCUUCUGAAAUAUUUCCACUCCCUAUUGGUAAUGUAUUAUAGAGUACUGCUAGCAGUAGACUUUGCUACUCUCUGCAGCCCUAUGUAAUCCAGACUAUUUUGUUUUCUUUGGGGAUGCAGAGCUGUCAUGAAGGUGAAGNNNNNNNNNNUUCAGAUUUUUUAGGAAUCUUGCAUGUAUGGGGGAUAAAUAGACAUAAAAGUAUUAAACUAUCUGCACAAAAUCAACUUAGUUAUCUACUUGCCUAAAGCCCUUUGCAGUCAGAAUUCUCCUUUGUUAAGAGUUGAAUAUGAGUAUUGUUGUUUCUGUUUACCCCUGGCCCCCUUCAAGAAUCCACAGCUCAGCUGUCUAUACAGUCAUCCUGUGACAGCUUCAUCAUCACCCUCACCUCCUCCCAGGGUUUCCCCCAGCCUGAUGUGUGGUGGACAGACUCCAUUGGAGGAGACAUCUACAAUUAGAGCCACUGCUAAAUCGGUCUGGAAAGCAGGGGGCGCUAUGAGGUCCACAGCUCCAUGGAGGUCAGGCCAAACAGUACACUCACCAUCAUUGCUGAAAUGAGACUGGAGGAUCUCAAUCAAAGCUUCACCCGCUCGCUCACCCUCCACCCACUCCCAGGUAAAGGUGCGACCUACCAACAGGUUUAAGGGUAGAGCAAUGUGACCAAGCAUGGUUCACUGAUUUAGUGAUGAAAUAUUAAACCAUUUCAUAAUCACUAAUGGCUAACCCCUGAAUAGAGAUUACUCUUACACAAAUUCUGCAAUGUAUGAAUUCUAGACAAAAUUUGUAGUCAAACACCCAUCCUAACUAAAUAUGGAUUUGACAUUUCACUUUGAGGGCAAAUGAGUCAUAUGAGCAUUGUGUAUAGAUGUACUGCAUGCAAGAAUAACACCAUUGCAGAGUGCAACUUUCCAUGACAGGAGCUGUUUACAAUGCCCUCAAUGAAAGGUUCAGUGACCAGGCAGUACUACUAGAGGAACAGGUCUUUGGGAUGUGAAGCUGAAAGCCGGUCUCUUUCUCUCUUCUCCUCCUCUUCAACAGAAUGCUGUGAGCUGCUUCUUGCAACCGGGGGCAGACCGGCUUUGGUAUUAUUAGGGAUAGUUCUCUUAGCAGCUUCAGACGUCUGAAACACACCAACACCAGCUGAUCCCACAUGACUAUACAACAGGACAAGAUGAGGCUCAUGAAACAGAGACUUGAUACAUCAUGAACAAAAAUUAGUUAUAAAAGUCUAAGCUUACAGGACUGUUUCAAUGUCACAAAUAUAGGUGUGUGUGUUGCUGCCUUCUGAAAUAUUUCCACUCCCUAUUGGUAAUGUAUUAUAGAGUACUGCUAGCAGUAGACUUUGCUACUCUCUGCAGCCCUAUGUAAUCCAGACUAUUUUGUUUUCUUUGGGGAUGCAGAGCUGUCAUGAAGGUGAAGAGUGGCUGCUUUGAAGAGUCUCAAAUAUACAUUUAGAUUUGUUUAACACUUUUUUUGAUUACGGCAUGAUUUCAUAAAGUGUUAUUUCAUAGUUUUGAUGUCUUCACUAUUAUGCUACAAUGUAGAAAAUAGUACAAAUAAAGAAAAACCUUUGAAUGAGUUGGUGUGUCCAAACAUUUGACUGGUACUGUACAUUUUGUCCAAUGUUACUGUCAAAUGUGGCCUGGUAACAACAACUGGGAAAAGUACUAUCCACCUUACAG